rnacentral:rRNA from 1 species
UACGGAGGGUGCAAGCGUUAUCCGGAUUCACUGGGUUUAAAGGGUGCGUAGGUGGGCAAGUAAGUCAGUGGUGAAAUCUCCGGGCUUAACCCGGAAACUGCCAUUGAUACUAUUUGUCUUGAAUACUGUGGAGGUCAGCGGAAUAUGUCAUGUAGCGGUGAAAUGCUUAGAUAUGACAUAGAACACCAAUUGCGAAGGCAGCUGGCUACACAAAUAUUGACACUGAGGCACAAAAGCGUGGGGAUCAAACAGG